UCCCCAUUGGCUCAGCACUAAAGAAUCUGCCUGCAACGCAGGAGAUGCAGGUUCGAUCCCUGGAUCGGGAA
rnacentral:tRNA from 1 species